rnacentral:miRNA from 1 species
UUCCUUCCUUUCAAUGAGGUAUAACAUCCUCAUUGAUGGAAGGAAUCCCUUUCGGUCAAUGAGGUAUAACAUCCUCAUCAGCUGGAAGGGAUUCCUUACGUAGAUGAGGGUGGCAACCUCAUUGAUCGGAAGGAAUUCCUUCUAAUCAAUGAGGGUGUUAUAAACCUCAUUGAUUGGAAAGAA